CUCUAAAGGGAAGCGCUUUCUGUUGUGUGAAAGAAAACGAAGCGCUUCUCUUUGGAGCG
rnacentral:pre_miRNA from 1 species